CUCCUGAUGGAACUUCGAAAGAG
rnacentral:snRNA from 1 species